UACGUAGGGACCGAGCGUUGUCCGGAAUCAUUGGGCGUAAAGAGCGUGUAGGCGGCUAUUUAAGUCCUGCGUGAAAUCCUGCGGCUCAACCGCAGGCGGUCGUGGGAAACUGGAUGGCUAGAGUGCGGGAGAGGAGAGUGGAAUUCCCGGUGUAGCGGUGAAAUGCGCAGAUAUCGGGAGGAACACCCGUGGCGAAGGCGGCACUCUGGGACGGUACUGGACGCUGAGACGCGAAAGCUAGGGGAGCAAACAGG
rnacentral:rRNA from 1 species